rnacentral:rRNA from 1 species
GACGAACCGUGCGAACGUUGUUCGGAAUCAUUGGGCGUAAAGAGCGUGUAGGCGGUCCGAUAAGUCCGCUCUGAAAGCCCGGGGCUCAACCCCGGGAGGCGGGCGGAUACUGUCGGGCUAGAGUCCGGAAGAGGCAAGUGGAAUUCCUGGUGUAGCGGUGAAAUGCGCAGAUAUCAGGAGGAACACCGAUGGCGAAGGCAGCUUGCUGGGACGGUACUGACGCUGAGACGCGAAAGCGUGGGGAGCAAACAGG